AGCUUACCGGUCGAGAGACAAGGCCUCGAAAAUGGACGGGGCUUAAGCUGGCUACCGAUACCCUGGAGCACGCUGUUAAUCAGCGUGUCUGGUAGGAGGGCGUUCGGCUUGGGGAGAAGCUGGGCCCUGAGGCCCAGUGGACCGAGUCGAAGUGUAGACCCCGGUGGUAGUAACAUCAAAGUUGGGUGAGAAUCUCAACCGCCGUAAGGGCCAGGGUUCCCCGGCAAUGCGUCGUCAGCCGGGGGUUAGUCGGUCCUAAGGCUUGCUCUUAACACGAGUAGGCUGAUAAGGGGAAGCUGGUUAAUAUUCCAGCACCAGACGGGUACGUGCGGCGACGCUAGGCCUAGGAGCCGACGGCUUGGGAUAGAGUGAGCAGGGUUGCUGCCCUGUUUAACUGUUUAAGCCUGGGGAGUGCCGUAAAGGCGAGAACCAGGUGAAGACGGGAAUAGCAUGCCAUUAGGCGUGUUCACUUGAUUCCUAGGUCCAUGGAAAAGGCUUCUAGGAAGGAUCCUGUCUGCCCGUACCGAGAACCGACACAGGUGCCCCUGGGUGAGAAGCCCAAGGCGUGUCGGGGGUAAUCCAUGGCGAGGGAACUCGGCAAAUUGGCCACGUAACUUUGGGAGAAGUGGUGCCUGAAGCUGGGCCGCAAGGCUUGGCAUCAGGUCGCAGUGACAAGGGGGUCCCGACUGUUUACUAAAAACACAGGGAACCGUUAGCCCGAAAGGGUUUACCCGGUUCUUGAAUCCUGGCCAGUGGCGGUACCUGAAACCUGGGUCCAACUGGGCUAAGGGCCGCUAAACGCCGGGAGUAACUCUGACUCUCUUAAGGUAGCCAAAUGCCUUGUCGGGUAAGUUCCGACGUGCAUGAAUGGAUCAACGAGGGCCCCGCUGUCCCCGCCUGGAACCCGGUGAACCCACGUAACGUGGACGAACAGUCCACGGAUUCCCAGCGGGAAAAGAAGUCCCUGUGGAGCUUUACUGCAGCCUGUCGUUGUAGUGGCGGCUUCGGUGCAUAGCGUAAGCGGGAGCCGUUACAGGCUCAUUCUCUCGGGGGUGAGCUGAGGCGAUAAUGAAACACCGCUUACCGGGACUGUUGCUACUGAUCUAGGCGAAAGCCUAGAAACAGCGGUAGGUGGGCAGUUUGGCUGGGGCGGCCCCCCCUUGAAAAGAUAUCGAGGGGGCCCAAAGGUCGGCUCAGACGGGUCAGAACUCCGUCGUGGAGGGCAAAGCCAAAAGCCGGCCUGACUGGUUCUCGCACAUCAGGAGAACCAGGGGCGAAAGCCGGGCUUAGCGAUCAUCCAUGCUCCCCAUUGGUGGGGGCUGGAUGUGUCAGAAAAAUUACCCUAGGGAUAACAGGCUCGUCGCGGGCGAGAGUCCCCAUCGACCCCGCGGCUUGGUACCUCGAUGUCGGCUCUUCCUAUCCUGGCCCUGCAUAAGGGGCCAAGGGUGAGGCUGCUCGCCUAUUAAAAGGGAACGUGAGCUGGGUUUAGACCGUCGUGAGACAGGUCGGACUUUAUCUGCUGGGAAUGCUGGUCGCCUGAAGGGAGGAUAUCCUCAGUACGAGAGGAACUGGGUGUCGCGGCCUCCGGUCUACCGGUUAUCCAGCAGGGUAGACGCCGGGCAGCUGCGCCGCUGUGGAUAAGGGCUGAAAGCAUCUAAGCCCGAAGCCACUCCUGAAAAUAGGCGACCAAUCUGGAGUGU
rnacentral:rRNA from 1 species